AUGGUGCCAGGGAGCUCCAAGAAGAAGAGGGACACGGAGAAGAGCCCUGUGUCCGAGCUCUCCGACGACCUCCUCGUUGAGAUCAUGUCCCUCUUGCCGUACAAGUCCACCUGCUGCUGCAAGUGCGUGUCUAGGCGAUGGCGCGACCUCGUCUCCCACCCCGACCACCGCAAGAAGCUGCCCCAGUCGACCCUCGCCGGCUUCUUCUUUGAAACAUACGACAUAACUAGCCGUGAGGUGUCUCGCUCUCGCCGCUACCAAAGUGUCUCGGGGAACUGGUGCCCUCGCAUCAACGCCUCCCUCUCGUUCCUGCCCAAAUGCGAGAGACUAGACAUUAUGGACAGCUGCAAUGGUCUCCUUCUCUGUCGCUGCUGGAAGAGCACUGAUGGCAAGAUGAUGGAUUACGUGGUGUGCAAUCCGGCCACUGAAAAAUGGGUGGUCGUGCCUGCCACCAACUGGUCCAGCAAGCUGUGGGCCAUUCGCUUGGGGUUUGAUCCGGCCGUCUCAUCCCACUUCCAUGUUUUUGAGUUCGUACCAGCUUUUGUCUUGGAUGAAGCUGACCGUCGUAGAUACAUUAAAGUGGUGGGGGUCUACUCUUCCAAAGCUGGAGUUUGGACACAUGAAAGUACUGGGAACCAUCUAGUUGAUAUAUGCAUCUUUUCAUCCAGCGUAUUUCUUGGCGGAGUGAUGUAUUUAUCUUCUUAUAAUGAUUUGGUUAUAGCAGUCGACAUGGAGGGAAAAUGUAAGGUCAUUCGUACACCUGCACUACGCGAUGGUUGUGGGGCUUAUGAUAUUUCUCUAUCACAGGGGCGAUUGUAUUUGGCAAAACAUGGUGAUUCUGAAGUAUCAAUCUGGGCUCUUGAUGAUUCUAGUACAGGAAAUUGGACCUUGAAGAACAAGGUCAGCCACUUGCAACUGUUCGAAAAAGAGUAUUCAUCAAUGCAUGAUUACGAUGUUAUCAUCCACCCGGAAGACAAUGCCAUUAUAGUACUAUGCGCACAACUGCACAUCGGGGGCCAAUCAUUGACAAAAGUUUUGUCAUACAAUGUGGAAUCUAGGGAGCAGCAUUUUAUGACAGAUCUUGGAUGGUAUUGCAGGAUUCCUUAUCUUUCAUAUGUUCCUUUGUUCUCAGAGUCACUGGCAGAUGCACAGUAG
rnacentral:rRNA from 1 species